rnacentral:ncRNA from 1 species
GUCCUAAGGUGGAAUUGCUGCCUUAGUGGGGUGAAAGACCCCCUUCGAACUUCGCAAUGCCUGCGAAGAUGUAGAAGAAAAUCUGACUAUAUCGGUGAACAUCUCGAUAAGCAUCGAGACAAUACCGAGGCAACCUUAACACGAAAGUGUUGAGAGAGUCCGUAGAGACUAUAUGCCAGACUCCCGUAUCAAAUACGUGGAGAAGAUAGAGUCCGAUCUGCAUGGCGACAUGCAG